AAGCAUACAAUUUUAUGUAUGCAAAUGAUUCAAACAUAACACAAGAGACUCAAUAUAGUCAAAAGCACUAGGAAAAGCAGCAGUAGCCACCAGCCAGAGAGAAAAUGAAAAGGCAAAGUUAACAGAUCGAAAGAUAGUUAUCGGUCCAAGAACACAAGGCAUCCCUGGUUUUACAUAGCAAAGAAGAUUAGACAAAAUACAAGGUCUUCGAGAUUCUCAAUCGCUCUUUUUAGGAGGCGUUGGAAGCAAAUAACAAACAGUUACAUUACAUGACCACUCUCUCAACUUCUUACAUUUCAGCUGAUGAAGACAUUAAAAACUAGUUCAAACCACAUAACGAUAAGUAAUAUAACGGCCUGCAGUCUCACUUGGUCUAAUAAUUUUCACGACCUGGCCACGUUUUAGCCCGUAGUAUCUAGCAAUUGGGUCAGUGAUCUGAAUCCGAGGAAGCUGUGUUUCUUUCACAGUGUAUCUUUCCAACAAGGUCUUCUUUUCUUCAGGAGAAAGUAGCUGGUGCUCAGGAAUUAGAACAUGAUUUUUUAUGUUUACCAACAUUUCUGCCUCCUGAAAAACCUCCAAGUGGAACUUUGUAGAUAUUUCACUUAUGCAGGUACGAGCAAAGGGAGUCAGAUUUUGUUGUACAAUCAGAAUUGCUUGGAACACAUCUUCUUUUUUCAUGCGCUCUGUAUAAGUUUUCAUUGUCUUAACACCAACCUUUGGCUCCUCUGGAAAGAAGACAUAUAUCUGAUCAGAACUGUUGUUACGUUUGGCUUUUUGAAUUACAAGGUCUUCUCUCUUCAUGUUCUCACCAUACUUCUGAAGGAACUGAUGUUUUGACAUAUUUAUCUCAAAAUCUCCAACAAGAUAGCCCCUAUCGGACAACAUUUCCAUCAGUGUCUUACGAACUCUAAAAAGUUUUGAGAGUUCCUCCUCUGAUAGAGCCAUCUUUGUGAUGUAUCAACGGCGGAGGUAGCGAUAGUGGCGGUGGCGACACGGCAGUGGCGGCGCGGUGUGGUUCAGAAGGAAGAAACCCGAUAAACGCUGGCGCCCUUUCAAGGGUUUUUGUCUGUUCGGUUCACUUCCCCUUCUUUUU
rnacentral:misc_RNA from 1 species